CCAGAAGACCCUUCACGCCACACAUAGAGAAAAGGACAUAGUUGCUCAUUUGUUCUUUUCUUGCAGGAAAUCUCUCCAAGUUUGGGCUCACAUUCGUGAUUUGGCUUCUUUCCGUAGGCGUUUCACUUCUUUACAGCGCAUUACUGACUCUUUAAUUAGGGGCAGAUCCACAUCAGGUGUUCAAGGAAAAUUAUGUUGUCUGACUAUAGCAAUUACAGUCUACUGCAUUUGGCUGUUUAGGAACAAGGUGAUUUUUGAAGAUUAUCAAUUUUCUGUCAUAGAGGUUAUUAGCAAGAUUAAGUUUCUUAUGUAUAGACAAGCGCACCUGUUGCAUUUGUUUUAGCAUCUUGAUAUAUGUCUUCUUGUAUUAGGGAGAUUUUUGAUUUUCUUUAACUGCGGGGUAUGCCCCGUUUAUUAUUGUAUCAUUUUGGGUUUAAUAUAAUUUACAUUUUUUUUCCCAAAAAGGACAUAGUUAUUAAGUCAGGAUAUGAAGAAAGACAAUUAUUCAACUAAUAUGUUGCUCAGGCCUCAGGCUAAUCUUUGUGGGAUAAUCUCCUCAUCUACAGUAUUUCCUCUGCUAAAGACAGAGGAUCAAGAGUGUGCAGUGGCAAAAAAGGAUCUAAAAUCCCAUUAGUUUAUUAUGUAACUUCUUUGUUUUGAUAAAGGAAUAAUAGUAGCUUCAACUAGAAAAGCAUAUACUUUAACCAAUCUCUCACUGUUUGAGAUGUCUGGGCCAUAUGUCACAUAAUACAUAUUCACAUUAGAUCAUAAACAAGUCAUGUCUGAGUAAUAUAAGUCAAUUUUUC
rnacentral:lncRNA from 1 species